GAUCAACGCUGGCGGCGUGCCUAAAACAUGCAAGUCGAACGGCACCUUCGGGUGCAGUGGCGGACGGCUGAGUAACACGUGGGCGACCUGCCCACCGGUGGGGGACAACCUUCCGAAAGGAGGGCUAAGACCGCAUGCGACCGCUCAUUCAGUUGAGUGGGGAAAACAGCGAUGUGCCGGUGGAGGGGCCCGCGGCCGAUUAGCUGGCUGGUGGGGUAACGGCCUACCAGGGGCGACGAUCGGUAGCCGGUCUGAGAGGAUGAUCGGCCAGACUGGGACUGAGACACGGCCCAGACUCCUGCGGGAGGCAGCAGUUAGGAAUUUUGGGCAA
rnacentral:rRNA from 1 species